rnacentral:rRNA from 1 species
GUGCCAGCAGCCGCGGUAAUACCGGCAGCCCGAGUGAUGGCCGAUAUUAUUGGGCCUAAAGCGUCCGUAGCUGGCCGAACAAGUCCGUCGGGAAAUCCGCCCGCUCAACGGGCGGCCGUCCGGCGGAAACUGCACAGCUUGGGACCGGAAGGCUCGAAGGGUACGUCCGGGGUAGGAGUGAAAUCCCGUAAUCCUGGACGGACCACCGAUGGCGAAAGCACCUUGGAAGGACGGAUCCGACAGUGAGGGAUGAAAGCUAGGGUCUCGAACCGGAUUAGAAACCCCAGUAGUCC